AGAUCUGUGUUCUUGAACAACAGAAACCGAGAUUUGCUUGUAAUUUAUGGGCACUGGACAUCGAGAUUUGCUUGUAGUUUGUGGGCACUGAGCAGAUCUGUUUUCGUGAACAACAGAAACUGAGAUUUGCUUGGAGUUUGUGGACACUGGGCACCGAGAUUUUCUUUUUGGUUUUACCGGUUUUUGAACAACAAAAACCGAACCGAACCGAACCGAAACCAGUCGGUUUGAACCGG
rnacentral:lncRNA from 1 species